rnacentral:SRP_RNA from 1 species
GCCAGGUGUGGUGGCUCACACCUGUAAUCCCAGCACCUUGGGAGGCUGAGGUGGGAGGAUUGCUUGAGGCCAGGAAUUCGACACCAGCCUGGGCAACCUAGUGAGAUCCCAUCUCUA